rnacentral:rRNA from 1 species
GGACGGGUGAGUAACGCGUGGGUAACCUACCCCAAAGUCCGGGAUAACAGCGGGAAACCGCUGCUAAUACCGGAUGUCUUUACCUUGGGGCAUCUUGAGGUAAAGAAAGGUAACGCUUUGGGAUGGGCCCGCGUCCCAUUAGCUAGUUGGUGAGGUAACGGCUCACCAAGGCGACGAUGGGUAGCCGGCCUGAGAGGGUGGACGGCCACACUGGGACUGAGACACGGCCCAGACUCCUACGGGAGGCAGCAGUAGGGAAUAUUGCGCAAUGGACGGAAGUCUGACGCAGCGACGCCGCGUGAGCGAUGAAGGUCUUCGGAUCGUAAAGCUCUGUCCUUGGGGAAGAAGGUCUUCGGACUUGACGGUACCCAAGAAGAAAGCCCCGGCUAACUACGUGCCAGCAGCCGCGGUAAUACGUAGGGGGCGAGCGUUGUCCGGAAUUACUGGGCGCAAAG